rnacentral:rRNA from 1 species
AUGGCGGCAUAUCAGUGCGAGCUUUCCUCGGCCAUCGUGGCCGAAUCCGAGGACAGGUCGUUCGUGUUCAAGGUGCGUGGAUACUCAAGGGCCAAGCAGCUGCUCAAGUGCGGCGAGUGCAUCACCUCGCCCCCGUUCACCGUCCAAGGCCACGACUGGGUGCUCAGGUAUUAUCCCAACGGCCGCUUGGCAACAGGUGCUGCUGCAGGUUACAUGUCCCUGGUUCUUGACACCGCCGACGGCAAGGAUGUGACCGUCAAAGCCAGGAACAUCAGCGUGCUUGACAAGAAUGGCCUGCCAGGCCGCUACUACGGCACCAUGUUUGAAAACAUCAUGUUUGAGACGCCUGUCUCCUUCACCAGCAGAAAUUCGUAUCUGUGCCUCAUGGUCAGGAAGGCAGGCUUGGAGCACUCAGGGGACAUAAUAGAGGACUCUUUCAACAUCAGAUGUGAUCUCACUCUCAAGGAUAUCGGCGAGCAGUUUGUCGUGGUCCCUCCGAGCGACAUGCAUCUGCAUUUCGGCAGCCUUCUGGAGAGCAUGGAUGGAGCCGACGUCGCCUUUCUCAUCGGCGGGGAGAGGUUCUCGGCUCAUAGGCUCGUGCUUGCUGCCAGGUCAUCCGUGUUCAGGGCAGAGCUCCUCGGCGCCAUGAAGGAGAAAACCGACAGCCUCAUUGAAAUCAGUGACAUGGAACCUCAUGUGUUCAGGUCCCUGCUCCAUUUCAUAUACACCGACUCGCUGCCUGAUCUUGAGAUUGAGAUGGCCAGCGACCAAGGUGAAGGACAUGGAGGAGGUGUGGUGAUGGCUAGCCAUCUACUCGUGGCAGCAGACAGGUACGACAUCGAGAGGCUGAAACUGAUAUGCGAGCACAAGUUAUGCAGCCACAUUGAUACCAACAUGGUGGCGACAAGUCUGGCCUUGGCCGAGCAGCAUAGGUGCCAUGGGCUUAAGGUAGCUUGUCUACGGUUCCUUGCUUCUCCUUCCAAUUUGGAGGCCAUGAUGGCGAGUGAUGGCUAUCAGCAUCUCAAGAGGAGUUGCCCAUCUGCCCUUAAGGACCUAAUUGCUAGUCUCCUGCCGGUCACAAUGAAAGCGGCCAAGGAUAUUAUCAUGGAAAUUUAA